AGCAAGAGAGGAAGCAAAUCGGUAUCAUCCAACAUCAGAACCCCUUGAUGACGAACCAUCGCCUUCAUCCUGCAUCUCGUGCAAACAGCUUGAGGCAAAGAACCUGCAGCUUACAUCAGACUUGGGGCAACUAAGAAAGAAAUUGCUGUACCAGCACAGAUGGGCUGAAAGGGCAAAAAAAAAAAACAAUCAAACGACUGGAAGAGGACCGCCAAAAGGCAUCCACAGCCCCGGUUCCAAGUGUGGACGUUGAUGCUCUGGUGAGGAGUGAAUCUUCCUCUCCUGAUGAAGAACCGCAGCACAUCAACAGACCUAAGUCAAAGGGGGAAAGCCGGAGCACCCUCUGUUUGGCGAAAGCGUACCCCAAAUUCCCACCAAGCAUCUUGGAAUACAUCGCCGAAUAUUGGCAGCACCUCAAAGGCUCCCGUGGUCUGAGGAAAAGGAUCGAAAAUCAAAGAUCCAAAGUGGGUAGAAUCAUGGCUUUCCUUUCGUUUAUAACCAAGGGACAG